CUCUUUCCAGGACAUAAAUACAACCACUUAAUUUGAUAGCUUAACUUGUUUUUGGUUGGGGCGACCAAGGGGAAAAACAAAACCCCCUUAUCGAAUGCGUGAAAACUCACCUAAAAAUUAGAGUAACAACUCUAAUUAAUAGAAAAUCUAACGAACAAUGACCCAGAAGUCUCACACUUCCGAUCAAUGAACCAAGUUACCCUA
rnacentral:rRNA from 1 species